AAUGAACGUUGGCGGCGUGGAUUAGGCAUGCAAGUCGAGCGAGAAUUUGCGAUUGGAAGCUUCGGCCGAAGAAAGUGAAGGAAAGCGGCAAACGGCGUAGUAAGGCGUAGGUACGUACCCUCGGGUCGGGAAUAGCCAUGGGAAACUGUGGGUAAUGCCCGAUAAUCUCUGCGGAGCAAAGGUGUGAUUCCGCCGGAGGAGCGGCUUACGUGAUAUUAGCUAGUUGGUGGGGUAAUGGCCUACCAAGGCAACGAUGUCUAGGGGGUGUGAGAGCAUGGCCCCCACGACCGGAACUGAGACACUGUCCGGACACCUACGGGUGGCUGCAGUCGAGAAUCUUCCGCAAUGGGCGAAAGCCUGACGGAGCGACGCCGCGUGGUGGAUGAAGGCCCUUGGGUUGUAAACACCUGUCAGAGGGGAUGAAAUCAUGGUUGGCAAUCCUUCCAUGUUGACAGAGCCUCAGGAGGAAGCGACGGGCUAAGUACGUGCCAGCAGCCGCGGUAA
rnacentral:rRNA from 1 species